GGAAAUUUUAGAUUUCUGAGCAAAAAAAUAUUUCCGAACAAUUUCGGUCGGCCUUCUAGGUAAAAGCUGGACAGAAACUGUCUGCUUUUAAGUUACACCAUCUGAUAAUACAACCAAUAUCCUUCCUAUAAUGGCAGUAUUAUAUUGCUGUCAUUCAAUAAUAAUUAAUCAAUAACAACAAUAAUUAACUAACAAAAACAAUAAUUAUUAUCUAACAACAACCACAAUAAUUAACCAACAACGUUAACAACAACCACAACAACAACGCUAAUAACAACGCCAACCACAAUAACAACUAUACGAAUGUUCAAUAACAAAAUAAUAUCAACGAUACAAUCAUCAUAAACUAGUUUCAACUAAAUAUUAGCAAGUUCAAUACUUUGUUUAGCAAUACAGACCAUUCAAUGAGUAUUUUAUAUUGCAUCAUCUCCAUCUUCACUACUAGAACCUUCAUCGUCGCAUGGUUCAAAAGAUCACGACGAGAAGGAUUAGUACAUGGGGAAGGCUCACGAGACUGGGGAAUGGAGAAAGCACCAAUAGCAUGAAGAUUGGCCAACUGACCUUGAAGUAGAUUAAAUUGUUCAUACCUCUUUUUCUAGGUGAACUUGAAAGGUACAAAAUUGUUCAUAUCUCUUUUGUUCUUUAGCCUUUGUCGCUUCAAGCUCUGUUGUCAGCUGCUCGGGCCUUUUUUCCUUGUUCACUCUACUUAUCAAAUUUCUCAGUGGUCGAAUACCUCAUCAAAUCCUCCCAUAAAUACGUUAGAACCCAUGAAGGCUUCUUGCUCUUCUUUCAAACGAAGCUGAAGGAAUCAAAUAGUCUCUUACGGCAUUUGAACAUAAAAUUUGUACAAAUUUUACUGUUAUAUCGGUCCUCCCAGGCACACUUAAUCUGCAAAUAAAGUAUGUAAUAUCAUAUGAAAAUAUUAUUAAUAUAAUACUUAAAUAGAUAAGAAUUGUAUUAAAACUUUAAAUUGGUUGAAAAUUUGCUGCACGAGUUGUGGUAAAAAGUUGCUCCAAGAAGGAUAGGGUGUAUUAUACAACCGGCCAAGAAUUUCAGUGAUUAUCUUUGUAACCCAAUUAUUAGGUAUGAACCUGCAACAUAGCAAUUAUAUUAAAUAAACAAAAGUAGCUAUUAUAGUUCCGCAAAAAUAAAAAAGUAAUAUGUAAAUCUUACCUAUUGCUCUCGGGCCUAAUAACCAUCCUAUGAUAACGAUCAUAACGCACUUCAUCUUGAUCAUCAUCCUCCUAUGAAUCUGAAGCAUACGCAGAAGGGGAGGCAUCUAGCUUAGCGCUACUAUCUCGAAGACGAAGUCUAGAAAUUCUAGGAGACAAACUCCCCGAUGAAGAUGGAUUCGAUUCACCCCCUACAUCGUUCUAGACCCCUACUAUGAUCCAAACCAUUGCUGCGAUCCGACCACCUAAAAUCUAGAUGGAUGCGAUCCAACUGGUUAUAAAGCAAAUGGAGCUGAUGAAGGGCGUACCACAUGGCUCUGUUACUGUUGACUCUAUGGACCCAUGUAACUACAUGUAGGAUCAUAUAAAGGAAGCGGGGUAUGGCCUUGUGUCGAAGAAUGGUAAUAAUAAUGCUGGGAGGGCCUAUGGUGCGUAGUCUGAUGAGUAGAUGGACGUGGUGGAAUAUAUGUAUUCCUAGAAGUUUGCUCCCUGCCAUCAACAGCAGAGAGAUGCAAGUGUGGAUUGGAAGAAAGUGAGGGUGUAGCACGAUCAUAAUGAUCAAUCGGCCUUUUAUCCUUCCUAGACCAACCUCGACCCCUUCCGGUCAUCUUCAAAAAUUAAAGAAAAUUUUAGAAUUGAGAAUAUAAAUCUAUAUAAGAGUGAGUGCGGUUGAAAAAACUAAAAUGCUAGUCGUCUUGGUCGACGUAUCCUUCCUCAUCUGAAAAUCCUUCCUCUUCAUUUCAUUUUCAUUAAGUGAUUUUUCAUACUCAUUUUUUAUGAUUGUUAUUUCCUCCAUAUCAACGUAUUCUAAUAUACAUUGAGUAUGCUCCAAGUCAUUUCCUAACUAAUUAUUCACCAUUUUGUUAACACUUGAGGUAUCGUUUUGGUAAGCAAUGUUUAGCUUAUUCUCAACUUCCACCUUACCAACAAGCUUUGUUUUGAUUGCAACCAACCAAUCAGCCUUAUCCCUCCGUAAUAAAUAUGGAGCAUAGUAUAUUUGCCUAACUCUCUGCAAUUAGUACCUCUUCUAGGUGUUUGCUCAAACCACUUGCAUUGGAAAAAUAUGAUGUUCUUAUUUGGCCAAUCUGAAUAUGACAAUUCUAGAAUCUUUUUUAUCACACCAUAAUAAUCAUUUUUCCCUUCCUGGUUACCUUCACUACCUUUGACAAACAUCCCACUGUUAUUGAUUUUUUUAUACUUGGAAUAUUUCUCUGUGUGAAAUUUAUAACCAUUCACACAAUAUUUAGACAUAGUCAUAAGCAUAGGUGCAGGUCCCUAAUAUAUGUCUUUCAAAAUUUUAUUAACAUCAUUUUUUGGAUUAUUGACCUACAUAUAGCUUCAAAUAAAUCACAAGUGAGCAGGUAUAUUCACAAGUAUGUAUAUUCACAUGUGGGAAAGAAUAUAAUAUGCACUUAGACACUCAUUAAACCAUGCCUCAAAGGUAAAAUAUACAGCAACAUGGCCAAAUAGACCACGAAGUCACUAAGCGAUGCAUUAAAAAUUAUUUUUUAGUUGCAUCAAUCAAAUUAAAUAGUAGUCCAUGUAAAUUAAUCUUAUGUCAACACUUACUUAAGAAAGGGUUGAGCACUAUUCUCCACCGACUUACUACUUUCACCAAUAAAUACAUUAUGAAAUACAUCAUCAGUACCAUCAACCUCUCCAUGACUAGUUCACACAAAAUGAUUAUCAAUAAAUCACUUUCUAUAAAGACCAGUCGUAACAUCCUCCGGGCCAAAAAAAAUGCAAACACUUGCGCUUCGUACAAGGAUACAUAAUCAUCCCUCCAAACUGAAACGGUUCAAGUGACAUUGCAUGCCUAAUAAAUUCCUUAACCCCUUCUAUUAAUUCCUCCAUAAAAAAUCGACGACUAGUAUAAUUCAUAUUAUACAUCCAACUACGAUAUUCAAACUACAUAAAGAACAAAUAAAUUAUAAUAAUCAUAGUUCAAAUUAAUUUAUAAAAUUAAGUUACAUAAUAAACUAUAAUUUGUUAGCAACACUCAGUUAAUCUAGCAUAAUCAUUUAAGCCUAAUUAUCUAAAAGCAAUAAACACUAAUAGAAUAAUAUUAUCCCCUAAACUAAUACAUCCUAAAUGUUUAUCAUUUCUCAUAUAAUUAGACUUACUAGAUAAUGAAUUAGUUAAGCCAAACCGACUCUUUAUUAUGCUUUUUAUAUAAAGAAAUGGACAACUCUUGUACAUAGGCCUAAACCAACUUUUUAUUAUAUUUUUUAAUUACAGAAAAAAUGAACAGCUCAAACCCGAUUUUCUUGCAGUUACACGGUCAUUUCCUGGAGGCAAAGCAAGUCCUUUGUAGUUAAGAAAAAUUAUUUUCUAAGUACUGAAUUUUUGAAAAAAUUCCUUUAAGUUCCCAAGAUAAGUAAAUAUUACUUUUAAAAAUUUUAAUUAAUGACUUGCACCAAAGAAGCACUCACUACAAAAUGCUCCUAAAAUUUAGAAUGUUAGCUAGCAAAAGAACGUAAAAAUAUAGACCCAAACACAAAUUUCACUUUUUUUCUUAUAUCUUUAUGGAACAAUAUUUCGAUUAGUUUAAAACAUCAACCCAAAGAAGAAAACACUUUUAUUUUGCUAGAUGUAUGAGCGUGGAUUUCUAAUUCUUGAAAUUAGUAGCAUUAAUCUAUAUACCAUCUCAUUAUAAAAGCUACUUUUACAUGGAAAAACAAACCCUUAAGCUUGUUUCUCACCACCAUAAGUUCAUAAUUUGAAGUAGUUCAUAAUUUAUACAUUAUGUUCAUAAUUUAUACCUUAAUUUUAAAUCUAAUAUUGUUCAAACAAAAAAACCCUAAAAGGUUAUUAUUUUAGGUAGUUCAAUUCUUAAUCUAAAUUUAAUGUAGUUCAAAAAUCCUAUUUAGUCACACAAAUCCUAAAUAGAUAAAACCCUAAAAAUUACAUAAAAUUAAAUUUCAAAAAUUAAAAAUUAAAACCUAAUAACUAAGGUAGAUUACUAACCUUGAACAACAAUGGCAGUGGUGGUGGUGGCGGUACAACAGUGGUGGUCGUAAUGAUAGUACAACAGUGGCGGCGGUGGAGGAGCGAAACAGUGGUGGAGGCAGCUUAGGCGUGAGAGAGGAGGUGGGGCUUCGUUAUUUGGGGUAGGUGACAAGAUUUUGGGACAUAAAAUAUGCGGGGAAGGUAGAUGGAUGAGAGAUAAAAGAGAGAGAGAGUUAGAAGAUGGAAAUGGGGGACUUUUUCGUCUGGGCUUGUUUAACUGCGAAAUUUCCAACCG
rnacentral:lncRNA from 1 species